UUGCUACUGGAAACGUAGUUGUCUCAAUAUCACCUCAUUAGUUGUACUUUUUUUUAUUAAGAAUAGUGGCAGGAGUUCAGCCUAAUCAAUUAAGAGAGAUUAGUAGGACAACAGGAGAUUCAGGCAAGAAACAACUAUCUGCAGGAUGACUGCUCCACAGCCCACGAUUGCAGCAAAGGCUGAAACAAAAUGACAAGGGAAAGCAUGACCGUUUGCCUGGUUGAUCUUCAAGACCUCGAGAACUCGAUGAGAAGACAUGCAAUUGUUGAUGCUUUUGAGAGUUCAAACUGUUCCCUGUUUGCAACAGGCACAUCCUACAUAUGUGGUUAUUUUGUGUGAAUCAAGAUUCAAUAGUAGUACAUGAUGCUCUAGAGGAUAUUACUCAAGUGCAAGGUAAAUUCAACCUUUGGUAGCCCCAAAAUUAGCUUCUACUGUAUAAUGUUCCUUCUUUUUACAAGGAAAGAACAACUAUCAGUGGCAUUCAAGUUUCAACUAACUGCACAAUCCACAGCAACAUCAUCACAACAAGCACAGAGGUCCAUGAGCACUAACAGGAACAAACAAAUGGUACGAAAGUCUGACCCUAUUUAUUUACAUUCGCUUGUUUGCAAUGUUUCGAUGAAGACAGCAAUGCAGUCCUGGAUAUACAAAGGAUUGAACUUGAAGUCCUUAGGUAUUUGGAAAUCCAGUAAUUUCGUAUAAAUUAUGGUUUAUGAAGAAAAUGAACAUUUUAGGCUUAAUAAUGGAUUGGACGUUAUAAAACUACGAUGUGGAAAGGGGCCAAUGGAAGAGGCCUAAAGGAAAAUCCAGAAGUGUGAGAUGUGUGUUGCAGUGGUUUAAUAGGCUAAUUACUAGUAUGUGGGAGCUGUUCUAUAAGCUGAAAAGAAUGAUUUUCAAGACAACUAAAGAAUGCACCAUAAUGACGAGAAUUUUGGAAAUCAAAAAAAAACUUUAAAUGCCUACCUGAUGUUAUAUGCAGUUAUGCUCAAUAAAGUCCCAGUGUCCUCAACUCUGUAACAUGGCUAGGAUCAAGAUCUGGCACUAGAUCAGCUCCUUCAAGAUCUUCUACAAUAUACUCCUGCCAUAAAGAAUAUCAAAGCAUGAGCAGAUCUUUUAACAUAAGUUUAUCAGAAGAAAGAGAAGGUGCUACAAUUUCAAAAGUUGUAGUGCUAAGAAGCUAUUCUGUGCCCGAUAAGAAAAUGAAGGCUCGUGUAACUAACAAGAAACAUCAUUUUUUUUUGUUAAUCACACCGGGACUUCAUACUCUACCUACUGGAAUCAUGUCUGAACAACACAGGAAACCUAAACCCUGAUAAACCAAUUGGAUUAAAACUAGCAUUCAUAUUUUCCAAACAUAUUGGACUAUUGACGACAUGAGUACUUGGUGGUGUCAGCAUAGUUAACAGUUUAUUAAUCAGUUACAAAAACAUUUUAUUAAUCACAAAAUGCACUUCUUGAAAUGAAAGAUCAAAUUAACAAACUUGUUUCCGUUUUUCUUUCUUUCACGAACCUUGGUUAACUCUUGCUUUGCAAGAACAUGGUAGUGCCGAUCAGUGAUCCUCUGUCCACAAAUUAUAGCUAUGAAGAACCCAUACAGAAAACCAACCAAAAUAUUUGCCAGUACUGCAGUUUGAACAAUUAUAAUAAAUAUUAAAAAAAAUCUCAGUAAGUGCUUCAAGUGCAGGCAUGGGUAAUAUGGAGUAUAUCAAAAUGGCAUGUACAUAGACAGCGUUAAAGAAUAUAGCAUGCAUGCUAAUACUUGUACAAUCACAAAUGCUAAUCUAAAUGCCAACAAUGGAUAGACAAAUGUCAUUGCAAUCUCAUCUAGCAUGUGUUGUCUUCACAGUUUCGAUGCCUUCGGGGCCAAAUUGAAAACAUGAGUUAUCUUGUUGAUCCUAUUGAGCAUGUAGACUUCUCUCUGUCAGAUAUGUUUGUCUACAAUUCGACAAAUACUUUAGACGAUCAUCUGAAUUAUGAAAACGAAUCCAUUGACAGGUCUUUCCAUGUGUGCUGAAAGCACAGACCACACUUAGAUAACCAUGACUCAUCCUAUAUAAAAUAUACUUAGAUUAUCUUAUAAUUCAAAUGACCAAACCUCUUACUGCUAUCAUAAAUUAGAGAAAUAUAUGAUGAUCUACAUCAUCACAGUAGAUACAGAAACACAUAGAGAUAGUGCCGGCGUAAGAUCAUUUCUACACAAUAUCUCUCAAUACUGGCUACAAAAAUAAAAUGAAAUCUGCAAUUAAUGAAGUGGCUUGUUUUAAAGAAGUAAAUACCAAACCAUGUUGAU